UAUUAUAGUGCAUAUAGUUUUAGUGGGCUCGGAAUUUUAGUCCAAGACCCAUCAUGGGCUCACUCAUUUUCUGUCCAUAUUCUAGUUCAUAUACUUUUGGGGGCUCAUAAUUGUAGCUAAAAAUUACAUAUAUACACUAGGUAACUUUUUCGUAUUACAUUAAAAUCUCAUAUUGAAAAAGAAAUUAAAAAAAAUCUAAAGUAAUUACUUAAAUCCCUUAAAGAUACC
rnacentral:lncRNA from 1 species